rnacentral:rRNA from 1 species
GAUGAACGCUGGCGGCGUGCUUAACACAUGCAAGUCGAGCGAACAGACGAGGAGUUUGUUCCUUUGACGUUAGCGGCGCAGGGGUGAGACACACGUGUAUAAUCCACUUAUAAGACUGGGAAAAUUUCGGGAAACGGGAGCAAAUCCGGGAGAAUAUAUUGAACCGUAGGGUUGAUUGGAGAAUGACGGUUUUGCUGGCUCUUCUAGAUGGAUCUGAGCUGCAUUAGGUGGUUGGUAAGGUAACGGCUUACCAAGGCAACGAUGCGUACCCGACCUGAGAGGGGGAUCGGCCACUGUGGAAGUGAGACACGGUCCAGAGUCCUACGGGAGGCAGCAGUAGGUAAUCUUCCGAGCUGGGCGAAAGCCUGCCGGAGCGGCGCAGCGUGGGUGAUGAAGGGCCUCGGAUCGUAAAACUCUGUUAUGGGGGAAGAACGAAUGUGUAUGUAACGAUGCGCGUCUUGAGGGUACCUAAUCAGAAGGCCCCGGCUAACUACGU